GUAGGGAAUAUUGGGCAAUGGAUGCAAGUCUGACCCAGCCAUCCCGCGUGCCGGAAGAAGGCCCUCAGGGUUGUAAACGGCUUUUGACGGUGAAGAACCGACAGGAUGCGUCCUGUUUUGACGGUAGCCGUUGAAUAAGCACCGGCUAACUCCGUGCCAGCAGCCGCGGUAAUACGUAGGGUCCGAGCGUUAAUCGGAAUUACUGGGCGUAAAGCGUGCGCAGGCGGUUUUGUAAGACAGAUGUGAAAUCCCCGGGCUUAACCUGGGAAUUGCAGUUGUGACUGCAAGGCUAGAGUGUGUCAGAGGGGGGUAGAAUUCCACGUGUAGCAGUGAAAUGCGUAGAGAUGUGGAGGAAUACCGAUGGCGAAGGCAGGUGGCUGUACCUUAAUCGACGCUGAUGCACGAAAGCAUGGGGAGCAAACAGGAUUAGAUACCCUAGUAGUCC
rnacentral:rRNA from 1 species